rnacentral:rRNA from 1 species
UACAGAGGGUGCGAGCGUUUGUUCGGAAUUAUUGGGCGUAAAGCGCUUGUAGGCGGCACGUCAAGUCGCGUGUGAAAUCCCCAGGCUUAACCUGGGAAGUGCGCGCGAAACUGACGAGCUUGAGUGCCGGAGAGGGUCGCGGAAUUCCCGGUGUAGAGGUGAAAUUCGUAGAUAUCGGGGAGGAACACCAGUGGCGAAGGCGGCGAUCUGGGAAGAUACUGACGCUGAGGUGCGAAAGCGUGGGGAGCAAACAGG